GAUGAAGAACGCAGCGAAAUGCGAUAAGUAAUGUGAAUUGCAGAAUUCAGUGAAUCAUCGAAUCUUUGAACGCACAUUGCGCCCGCCAGUAUUCUGGCGGGCAUGCCUGUCUGAGCGUCAUUUCAACCCUCAUGCCCCUAGGGCGUGGUGUUGGGGAUCGGCCAAAGCCCGCGAGGGACGGCCGGCCCCUAAAUCUAGUGGCGGACCCGUCGUGGCCUCCUCUGCGAAGUAGUGAUAUUCCGCAUCGGAGAGCGACGAGCCCCUGCCGUUAAACCCCCAACUUUCCUAGGUUGACCUCAGAUCAGGUAGGAAUACCCGCUGAACUUAAGCAUAUCAAUAAGCGGAGA
rnacentral:misc_RNA from 1 species